CCUCCGUCUCUUCUCUCUGCUUGCUCUGCCCUCUCCGUACCAAAAACACUGAUCUGCUACCAAAAACCAGAUGGGUAAAAACACAACUUCCAACCCCGAGGCAAAAAAGGCUAGAGCAUUAUGGGAUAAUAAUUCAAGCUGGACCACUAUUUUAUCAUCUUUUUUACAUUUUUGUGUUGUACAAU